rnacentral:rRNA from 1 species
UACUUGUGUAGGAUAGGUGGGAGGCUUUGAAGUAGGGACGCCAGUUCCUAUGGAGCCAUCCUUGAAAUACCACCCUGGUAAUGUUGAGGUUCUAACUCUGACCCAUAAUCUGGGUCGAGGACCGUGUCUGGUGGGUAGUUUGACUGGGGCGGUCUCCUCCUAAAGAGUAACGGAGGAGUACGAAGGUGCGCUCAGCGUGGUCGGAAAUCACGCGUAGAGUAUAAAGGCAAAAGCGCGCUUAACUGCGAGACCCACAAGUCGAGCAGGUACGAAAGUAGGUCUUAGUGAUCCGGUGGUUCUGUAUGGAAGGGCCAUCGCUCAACGGAUAAAAGGUACUCUGGGGAUAACAGGCUGAUACCGCCCAAGAGUUCAUAUCGACGGCGGUGUUUGGCACCUCGAUGUCGGCUCAUCUCAUCCUGGGGCUGAAGCAGGUCCCAAGGGUAUGGCUGUUCGCCAUUUAAAGAGGUACGCGAGCUGGGUUUAGAACGUCGUGAGACAGUUCGGUCCCUAUCUACCGUGGGCGCUGGAAAUUUGAGAGGAUCUGCUCCUAGUACGAGAGGACCAGAGUGGACGAACCUCUGGUGUACCGGUUGUGACGCCAGUCGCAUCGCCGGGUAGCUAUGUUCGGAAGGGAUAACCGCUGAAAGCAUCUAAGCGGGAAGCCUACCUCAAGAUAAGAUUUCCCCGUGACUUUAUGUCACCUAAAGAGCCGUUCAAGACCAGGACGUUGAUAGGUUGGAUGUGGAAGCAUAGUGAUAUGUGAAGCUGACCAAUACUAAUUGCUCGUGAGGCUUGACUAUACAACACCCAAACAGUUG